AGGAACAAAUGAAGUAUAAUAUAGAAUAAAAACCUAUAAGAUAAUAUGAAUUUGUUCGUUACCAUAUAUAUGUCGUUCUUACUAAAAGUAGAUGUUCUUUAAUACUUGUCAUUUCACAAAAUCAAUAAUGACAUACUAUUUCUUAUUUUACCCUUAGGAAUUAUUAGUUUAAAGCUAUGAAUUUGACCAAACAUAUGAAAACUAAAUAAUUAAUUUAUGUUCACGUUAAUUUCACUAAUCAAAAUAAAUUAAUUAAUAUGUAUCUAUUGAAAACUUGACUUCAAGAUAACUAGAGUCGUCAAAAGAGAUUUUAACUCAUGGGGCCUACAACCCGUUAUUGGGGGUAGGGUUGAGAUAGGAUUUUCAAAUUCAUUUAAAACUAGGGCUUAUAAGUCCGAUCCAUAUAAAUUCUUAAACAUUGAUGCUUGAUCUAGAAAAGGUCAAGGUCAGUCCAUGUACCAAAACUAUUUUUUUAAAGGUAACUUACAAAAAUCUCUCUAGUGUAAAAGUGAAUUACUUAAAGACACAUUAUGUUGUAAUAAUGUGAAUCUUAUCAAAUUUGGUACGUCCAGAUACAUUAUGUUGUAAUAAUGUGAAUUUUAUCAAAUUUAGUACGUCCAGAUAAAUGUACUUCAAAUUAUGUUAAUUUGUUCUAGAUACAUUCUAUCUAUGUGAAUAUUAUGUAUUUAGAAUACAUAGAGCGGCCCUUCUAGGGUUUAGCUGAGUUGAAUAUUCUCAAGUCCUUCUAAGUAAAAGACCGACCUGUCCUAGCCCACUAAAUUAUCUGGCCCGCAAAGCUUGGGCUGAAUGGACUGGGCCAAUUAUUUUUAACAACUCAGCUCUAAAAAUAACACUAAAUAAGAGUUAAGUAAACCUAAAAUAGUGACAUAUAAAUAGAAACCAAAAGCGAUAGUCAGGUAGAUGGUACAGGAGUCAAAUGACGGCGCUACUCACCUUUGCUCUUGGCCGCCAAAUUUGUAUCCUCAACAGCUUCAUCGGAGACGGAUACCGAAGCUCUUCUAUCAAAGCCCUCACUUGACAAACGUCGUAUCACGGAAUUCCCUUAUCGGUGGUUACUUCAAACACAGCCACAUCCAACAAGCGGAAUACCUGUUCGACCAAAUGCCUCAUAGAGAUGUCAUUUUUUGAAACACAAAUGCUCUCCGGGUAGCGCAACGCCAACAAGCCGGAGAAAGUAUAUAGAUUUUUUCUUGAUAUGAACAGAUGUGGAGAAAUGAGACCAAUGAGCUCACUUUCACGAUGCAUGCGCAGGUUACUCUGCUGUUUUGGUAGGCAAUCAAGUUCAUGUGUGCAUGUUGAUGUCGUCUUGUUGACCUCCCUUGUUGACAUGUAUGCUAAAUGUGGAGACAUUGAAGUUGCUUCCUGCAUUUUUGAGUCAAUCCCUGCAAGAAAUUCGAUCAUUGGAGGUUAUGCAAACAUGGGCUUGCAGGUGUUUGAGAGGAUGCUGAAGAGUGGUAUCAGGUCUGGGGGCAUUGCUAGGAUCAUGUAGGUUGCACUCAUGUCUAGAGCUCGGAGAGAUUGCAGCAAAUGGUAUCUAUACAUUGGAGCACAACCAUCCUGCAAUAUACUCGGUGCUUUCCAAAAUCCACGGAGACAAAGGAGUGUGCAGUGACAUAACUAGUUUCAAACUUUGGUAACUUGAUGAAGAAAUGGCGUGCUACAAAGCAGAAGGCUGGUAGAAUGUCUGUCUACUAUGAGGCAAGUGGCUUUCUACAUAACACUUUCCUUAAGAAAUUAUUAAAAAUCUAUACAUCUUUAAGUUUUUCCUUUUUAGUAUCUUAAUUUUUAUGCCCAAUAGAACAUAAAUUUUUAGAAACCAAAUCAUAUGGGAUAUAACAUGUAAGUUCUCGUGCCAAAUUUUUUUUAUCAAAUUUGAUCAUUUUUCUCUUAUAAAUAUAACUUUAACUGUCAAGGUUUUGAAUUAAAUUUAAAAGAUUAGAUAUUCUAUUUAUUUGUUUGAAUUUGAAUCAUGAUAGUUCAUACAUACACUCAAUUCAUUAGUGUUUAAUUUACAUUAUUUGAUGUUCAUUAAAAAUUAUUACUUUAUUAAUAUGUAGUGGAGAGUUAUUUAUUAUCAGACAUGAGGUCGACCAGAAUUGCAAUUUUUGGAAAUAUUUUUUCUUUUAUUACUACUAUAUAUAAGGAAAAAUAUCUAAUUUUGUAGUUUGAUAAAUUUUAAGAACUUUAAGGACUUUUUAUAUGCUACAAAAAAUGAUGUUAUCAUGAAAAGGAUUAUACAAUCCUACAAAGUGUUUUCAUAUAUUGAGAUUACUUAACUUUUUACAAAAAAUAUUUUACUUUAAGACAUUAGUGCAAGGAUAAAUUUAAUGCACAUUAGGAUCUUAGACUAUAAUUUACUCAUAGGCAUUAUAGAAACAUGUCUGAAUACAUUAUCGUGAAAAGUGAUUUUUACAAUAAUGUCUUUAGGUAUGUUUCUAUAAUGCCUCUCAGUAAAUUAUUUUGUCUAAGAUCCUGACAUGCAUUAGGUUUUUGCUUACACUAUAUAAUAUCUUAAGACAAAAUAUUAUUUGUAACAAGUUUAGUAAUAUUUUCAUAUAAAUUAAAGACUUGAUAUACGAAUGUACUUUGUAGGAUCAUUGUUAACUUUUUCAUGAAACCACAAUUUCUAGUAACAUACAAUUUCUUUUGAAGUUCUUAAAAUUUAUUAAAUAUUCUAAGUCUUACGGAUUUCUUUUUAAAUAAAAAGGACAAGAUAAUUAAUAUGUAGACUAUAAAAGUGGAUAUUCUUAUAUAGGAGUAAGUAAUAAGAGAAAAAUUAUUUCCAAAAAGUAGCAAUCCUGAUUCAUGCAAGAUAAUAAAUCACUUGUGAUUAUAUAAUUUUUUUAAUGAGUAUCAAACAAUGUGAUUUAGCAACUAAUGAACUGAAUAUGUCUAAAUAGAAUAUCUAGCCUUUUUAAUAGGACAUCUAGCCUUUUAAAUUUACUUAUAAGCUUUGACAAUUAAAGUUAUAUUUAUAAAAGCAUAAGUGGUCAAAUUUUAAUUUAUCCUUCGUUAUACUAUAAUUUAAAAUUACUCUAUCAAUAUCUGAAUAAUUCAAAUAUAUUUCACCUCUGUUAAGCUCUUUUUUUUGUGGGUUAAAUGACACGAAUAUUUGUGGAAAGAGGUCAUACUUUGUAUAGCAGGAUAAAUAGCUAUGACAAAUAGGUAGUUUCCUAUUGUACAUAGUUCCACACAUGUUGCUUUGAUUGUAUAUAUUGGUGGGACUAUCUAAACAGUAGGGUUUUCAAAAGACUGGUAAUUCACUCCUUUGCUCAAUAGAUGAAUAAUUCGGUUCUUCUCCCAGUUGCAUUUGAGAUCUGCACUACACAAGAAUAAUAGAAGAAUGCAUAUUAUCAUGAUUUUGCAUAUUUAUGACUUCUAAAGAGUGGAGAUUGAUUUCAACGGGGGGAAAGAUUGUACUGAAUAGAUAUACAUGAGCCUUGUAGGGCUUUGAGCUCUUCCAUUAUGGAAUUUGAGGGGCCUUGACAUUGAAUCCAGGGUCCAAUCCCCUCUAAGAUUUCUAAUAAUGCCUCUGAUUUCGUCAAUACUAGAGUUGAACUUGACAGAACCAUCAUUGUUAAGCAUGUAAGUCUCACAAGAAGUGGAGUUCCAUUUAAGUAAGAUUGUAUAUGGUUGUCCUUUAGGUAUGGGAGUUUGGUCGAUGAGAAGAUGGUACUCAAUAACGUAGAGGUGUUCCUUUUCCUUUCGUUUAAUAAGUUGUUAUUCCAUUAAAACUAAAUAUUCCAAAAAAAGAAAAGGAAAAGAGAAGCAUGAAAUUCCAAGAGAGCAAAACAUUAUAGGGUUCCUUUGGUUUCUUUUUUUAGAGACUCGUGGACUUUUGCAGGCAUUUUGAUGUACUACAUAAUGCGAAAGGGGAUAUGCUUCCUAGAGAAACCCUAGCUAGCAUAGUUCUGCUAGCCAUGUUGAGGAACUUGUCUUGUUGUUCAUACUGUCAAUAAUUAGUUGAGAGUCACUAUUGUCAACCUUCAUUUGGAAAUAUAUUUUCUUAUAUUUCUACUAUAUACAAGGAAGGAUAUUCAAUUUUGUAGUCCACACAUGAAUUUUCUUGUUCUUUUUAUUCAAAUUGAAAUUUGUAAAAACCUUGCAUAUUAAACAGAUUAUACGCUACUAAAAUGAUAUUGUCAUGAUAAAUUUUUCUAAUGAUCCUACAAAGUACAUUCA